AGAUUGAACGCUGGCGGCAGGCCUAACACAUGCAAGUCGAGCGGUAGAGAGGUGCUUGCACCUCUUGAGAGCGGCGGACGGGUGAGUAAUGCCUAGGAAUCUGCCUAGUGGUGGGGGAUAACGUUCGGAAACGGACGCUAAUACCGCAUACGUCCUACGGGAGAAAGCGGGGGACCUUCGGGCCUCGCGCCAUUAGAUGAGCCUAGGUCGGAUUAGCUAGUUGGUGAGGUAAUGGCUCACCAAGGCGACGAUCCGUAACUGGUCUGAGAGGAUGAUCAGUCACACUGGAACUGAGACACGGUCCAGACUCCUACGGGAGGCAGCAGUGGGGAAUAUUGGACAAUGGGCGAAAGCCUGAUCCAGCCAUGCCGCGUGUGUGAAGAAGGUCUUCGGAUUGUAAAGCACUUUAAGUUGGAGGAAGGUUGUAACUUAAUACGUUGCAAUUUGACGUUACCGACAGAAUAAGCACCGGCUAACUUCGUGCCAGCAGCCGCGUAA
rnacentral:rRNA from 1 species